rnacentral:ncRNA from 2 species
GUGGCGGGCCGUGACUGGCGCUGAGGUGGAGCACCACCGGGGAGCGGCCCGCAGAAUCGAAUGCCGUGCGCCUGGGCGAUCCCG